AGGGGAGUUUCAGUUCGGCCGCAAUCAUCCGAAGACAGAGGAACACCAUCGCCCAUGGGUCACUUGAUCACCAAUAGAACACUCCCAGCACAAACAGGCUGCUUGUUUGAAUCACCGAAUCAAUCUGGCGUUUGCUGGCGGUGCGCUACUACAAAUGCAGAAGGAGUGCGAAAAGGGUAGAAGGAGUUCGUGUGAAGAUUCAGCAUGCAAAAGGUCAAAAUCAACCGUGAGCGAACGUGGCAUCUUCAGCGACGGGGGAAGGAUUGCCGUGGUGGAGGAAAAUUUAAGAAACCAUGAUUUGUCACACACACACACACACACACACACACACACACACACACACACACACACGUACACAGCUUUCUGGGCCAGCAAAAAAAGUACAGUAUAAUUUAGUGAAGAGAAAAAAAUAAAUAAAAUGAAAAUACAAU